rnacentral:rRNA from 1 species
GACGAACGCUGGCGGCGUGCUUAACACAUGCAAGUCGAACGGAAAGGCCCUGCUCUUGUGGGGUGCUCGAGUGGCGAACGGGUGAGUAACACGUGAGUAACCUGCCCUUGACUUUGGGAUAACUUCAGGAAACUGGGGCUAAUACCGGAUAGGAGCUCCUGCUGCACGGUGGGGGUUGGAAAGUUUCGGCGGUUGGGGAUGGACUCGCGGCUUAUCAGCUUGUUGGUGGGGUAGUGGCUUACCAAGGCCUUGACGGGUAGCCGGCCUGAGAGGGGGACCGGCCACAUUGGGACUGAGAGAGGGCCCAGACUCCUACGGGAGGCAGCAGUGGGGAAUAUUGCACAAUGGGCGGAAGCCUGAUGCAGCAACGCCGCGUGCGGGAUGACGGCCUUCGGGUUGUAAACCGCUUUCGCCUGUGACGAAGCGUGAGUGACGGUAAUGGGUAAAGAAGCACCGGCUAACUACGUG